CCCAUUGUUGAACCAACGGCCAUGAAGUCAUCUGCACAGGAAAAGAAAUCAACCGAGAUUCCGGCAGUAGCGGCGAGCGAACCCGGAGGAGCCUAGCUUUUGAUAGUACGAACUUUAGCCGAAAGGUCCUGGAAAGGCCUGCUAUAGUGGGUGAUAGCCCCGUAGGCGAAAGAGUUCGUAUGGUACUAAGGAAGCGAGAAGUAGAGCGGGACACGUGGAAUCCUGUUCGAAGAUGGGGGGACCAUCCUCCAAGGCUAAAUACUCGUGAUCGACCGAUAGUGAACCAGUACCGUGAGGGAAAGGCGAAAAGAACCCCGGGAGGGGAGUGAAAUAGAACCUGAAACCGCAUGCAUACAAACAGUAGGAGCCUCGUCAGAGGUGACUGCGUACCUUUUGCAUAAUGGGUCAGCGACUUACAUUCUGUGGCGAGCUUAACCGAAUAGGGGAGGCGCAGCGAAAGCGAGUUCGAAAUGAGCGUCCAGUCGCAGGGUGUAGACCCGAAACCAGAUGAGCUAUCCAUGGCCAGGUUGAAGGUGUGGUAACACACACUGGAGGACCGAACCGACUAGUGUUGCAAAAUUAGCGGAUGAGCUGUGGAUAGGGGUGAAAGGCCAAACAAAUCUGGAGAUAGCUGGUUCUCCCCGAAAACUAUUGAGGUAGUGCCUCGUGUGUCGCUCCAGGGGGUAGAGCACUGUUUUGGCUAGGGGGACAUGGAGUCUUACCAAACCAAGGCAAACUCCGAAUACCUGGAAGCGUAAGCACGGGAGACAGAGCACCGGGUGCUAACGUCCGGACUCAAAAGGGAAACAACCCAGACCGCCGGCUAAGGUCCCAAAUAACAGCUAAGUGGAAAACGAAGUGGAAAGGCCGUGACAACCAGGAAGUUGGCUUAGAAGCAGCCAUCCUUCAAAGAAAGCGUAAUAGCUCACUGGUCGAGUCCUUCUGCGCGGAAGAUGUAACGGGGCUAAGCUGUUAACCGAAGCCGCGGAUGCACUGGUUAUCCAGUGCGUGGUAGGGGAGCGUUCUGUAAGUCUGCGAAGGCGGUUCGAGAGGACUGCUGGAGAUAUCAGAAGUGCGAAUGCUGACAUGAGUAACGUUAAAGCAGGUGAAAAGCCUGCUCGCCGUAAGCCCAAGGAUUCCUGCUCUACGUUCAUCGGAGCAGGGUGAGUCGGCUCCUAAGGUCAGGCCGAAAGGCGUAGCCGAUGGGAAUCAGGUUAAUAUUCCUGAACCUGCGUCAGAUGCGAUGGGGGGACGGAGCAUGAAAGAUCAUCCGGGUGUUGGAUGUCCCGGUUGACGAGCGUAGGAGGUCUGCAGGCAAAUCCGCAGACGCAUCUCCAAGGCAAAGACACGUGCCGCCACGGCGGCGAAGUGAUCGGAAGUGCUUCCAAGAAAAGCCUCUAAGCACCAGUCUGACGCGGACCGUACCGCAAACCGACACUGGUGGGCGAGCUGAAUAUGCUCAGGCGCUUGAGAGAACUCGGGAGAAGGAACUCGGCAAAUUGACACCGUAACUUCGGAAGAAGGUGUGCCGUAGUACCGUGAGAGGAGAGACACCUUGAGCGGGAAUCGGUCUCAGAGAAUAGGUGGCUGCGACUGUUUAUUAAAAACACAGCACUCUGCAAAGUCGAAAGACGACGUAUAGGGUGUGAUGCCUGCCCGGUGCUGGAAGAUUAAUUGAUGGGGUGAGAGCCCUUGAUCGAAGUCCCAGUAAACGGCGGCCGUAACUAUAACGGUCCUAAGGUAGCGAAAUUCCUUGUC
rnacentral:rRNA from 1 species